CCUACGGGUGGCAGCAGUGGGGAAUAUUGGGCAAUGGGCGCAAGCCUGACCCAGCAACGCCGCGUGAAGGAAGAAGGCUUUCGGGUUGUAAACUUCUUUUCUCAGGGACGAAGAAAGUGACGGUACCUGAGGAAUAAGCCACGGCUAACUACGUGCCAGCAGCCGCGUUAAUACGUAGGUGGCAAGCGUUAUCCGGAUUUACUGGGUGUAAAGGGCGUGUAGGCGGGACGUCAAGUCAGAUGUGAAGACCCUGGGCUCAACCUGUGGACUGCAUUUGAUACUGGUUUUCUUGAGUACUGGAGAGGCAGACGGAAUUCCUGGUGUAGCGGUGAAAUGCGUAGAUAUCAGGAGGAACACCAGUGGCGAAGGCGGUCUGCUGGACAGCAACUGACGCUGAGGCGCGAAAGCGUGGGGAGCAAACAGGAUUAGAUACCCUUGUAGUC
rnacentral:rRNA from 1 species